rnacentral:rRNA from 1 species
CUUGUGUUCUAUUUUGUUGGUUUGCGGGACGCGAGUAAUGAUUAAUAGGGAUAGUUGGGGGCAUUCAUAUUCCAUAGUCAGAGGUGAAAUUCUUAGAUUUAUGAAAGAUGAACAACUGCGAAAGCAUCUGCCAAGGAUGUUUUCAUUAAUCAAGAACGAAAGUUAGGGGAUCGAAGACGAUCAGAUACCGUCGUAGUCUUAACCAUAAACUAUGCCGACUAGGGAUUGGCGGAAGUGAAAUACUUACUCCAUCAGCACCUUAUGAGAAAUCAAAGUUUUUGGGUUCUGGGGGGAGUAUGGUCGCAAGGCUGAAACUUAAAGGAAUUGACGGAAGGGCACCACCAGGAGUGGAGCCUGCGGCUUAAUUUGACUCAACACGGGGAAACUCAC